rnacentral:miRNA from 9 species
AAGGUAUCACUGUGUGUUCGCA